AAGUCGAGGGGAAACGACAUCGAAAGCUUGCUUUUGAUGGGCGUCGACCGGCGCACGGGUGAGUAACGCCUAUCCAACCUGCCCACCACUUGGGGAUAACCUUGCGAAAGUAAGACUAAUACCCAAUGAUAUCUCUAGAAGACAUCUGAAAGAGAUUAAAGAUUUAUCGGUGAUGGAUGGGGAUGCGUCUGAUUAGCUUGUUGGCGGGGUAACGGCCCACCCAGGCUACGAUCAGUAGGGGUUCUGAGAGGAAGGUCCCCCACAUUGGAACUGAGACACGGUCCAAACUCCUACGGGAGGCAGCAGUGAGGAAUAUUGGUCAAUGGACUAGAGUCUGAACCAGCCAAGUAGCGUGCGGGAUGACGGCCCUAUGGGUUGUAAACUGCUUUUAUAAGGGAAUAAAGUGAGUCUCGUGAGACUUUUUGCAUGUACCCUAUGAAUAAUGACCGGCUAAUUCCGUGCCAGCAGCCGCGGUAAUACGGAAGGUCCGGGCGUUAUCCGGAUUUAUUGGGUUUAAAGGGAGCGUAGGCCGGAGAUUAAGCGUGUUGUGAAAUGUAGACGCUCAACGUCU
rnacentral:rRNA from 1 species